rnacentral:lncRNA from 1 species
AAAAUUUUCACAUGUAGGACAUCUAGUUUUCCUCCUUCUCCUGUCUGAUAGCCCUUCAAGAAGAGGUUGUUGGUCUUUAAUGCUUCUACUGUGUAUUGUUUCCUACAUACACAAGAAACAAACCCUAAAAGCACUUUUACAGAAAAAUAAAACAAAACUAAAAAAAAAAUAAUUACAAACAAGUCAAAUUUCAAUCAAUUCACACUACUUGAAAAAGUUAAACCUCGAGUCCCC